rnacentral:rRNA from 1 species
UACAGAGGGUGCUAGCGUUGUUCGGAAUUAUUGGGCGUAAAGGGCGCGUAGGCGGUUUCGCAUGUCCGAUGUGAAAGCCCACCUCUUAAAGGUGGAAUUGCAUCGGAAACUGCGAGACUGGAGUGCCGGAGAGGGUGGUGGAAUUCCUGGUGUAGAGGUGAAAUUCGUAGAUAUCAGGAGGAACACCGGUGGCGAAGGCGGCCACCUGGACGGUUACUGACGCUGAGGCGCGAAAGCGUGGGGAGCAAACAGGAUUAGAUACCCCCGUAGUCC